AUUGAACGCUCGCGGCAUGCUUUACACAUGCAAGUCGAACGGCAGCGCGGGGUUUGGCCUGGCGGCGAGUGGCGAACGCGUGAGUAAUACACCGGAAUGUGCUCAGCAGUGGGGGAUAGUACGGCGAGAGCCGGAUUAAUAACACAUACUACCUGCUGGUGAAAGCGGGGGGUCUUCGGACCGUGUGCGCUGGUAGCGGCGGAGUCGGGAUUUGCUAGUUGGUGGGUUAAAGGCCUACUAAGCCGACGAUUUGCAGCUGGUCUGAGAGAACGACCAGCCACACUGGGACUGAGACACGGCCCAGAGGCCUAAGGGAGGCAGCAGUGGGGAAUUUUGGACAAUGGGCGAAAGCCUGAUCCAGCAAUGCGGCGUGUGUGAUGAAGGCCUUCGGGUUGUAAAGCACUCUUGGCGGGAACGAAAAGGAUUGUGCUAAUACCACGGUUCGAUGACGGUACCCGCAGAAUAAGCACCGGCUAACUACGUG
rnacentral:rRNA from 1 species